rnacentral:rRNA from 1 species
GACGAACGCUGGCGGCGUGCUUAACACAUGCAAGUCGAACGGUGACGAGGAGCUUGCUCCUCCGAUCAGUGGCGAACGGGUGAGUAACACGUGGGCAACCUGCCCCAGACUUCGGGAUAACGCUUCGAAAGAGGUGCUAAUACCGGAUACGAGGCGUGGGGGCAUCCCCAACGCCUGGAAAGAACUUCGGUCCAGGAUGAGCUCGCGGCCUAUCAGCUAGUUGGUGAGGUAACGGCUCACCAAGGCGACGACGGGUAGCCGGCCUGAGAGGGGGACCGGCCACACUGGGACUGAGACACGGCCCAGACUCCUACGGGAGGCAGCAGUGGGGAAUAUUGCACAAUGGGCGCAAGCCUGAUGCAGCAACGCCGCGUGAGGGACGACGGCCUUCGGGUUGUAAAUCUCUUUUAGCAGGGAAGAAGCGAAAGUGACGGUACCUGCAGAAAAAGCACCGGCUAACUACGUGCCAGCCGCCGCAGUAACAC